GACGAACGCUGGCGGCGUGCUUAACACAUGCAAGUCGAACGGAAAGGCCCCUUUGGGGGUACUCGAGUGGCGAACGGGUGAGUAACACGUGAGUAACCUGCCCUUGACUUCGGGAUAACUUCAGGAAACUGGGGCUAAUACCGGAUAGGAAUCCUUGCUGCAUGGUGGGGGUUGGAAAGCUUCGGCGGCUUUGGAUGGACUCGCGGCUUAUCAGCUUGUUGGUGGGGUAGUGGCUUACCAAGGCUUUGACGGGUAGCCGGCCUGAGAGGGCGACCGGCCACAUUGGGACUGAGAUACGGCCCAGACUCCUACGGGAGGCAGCAGUGGGGAAGAUUGCACAAUGGGCGGAAGCCUGAUGCAGCAACGCCGCGUGCGGGAUGACGGCCUUCGGGUUGUAAACCGCUUUCAGCAGGGGCGAAGCUUGUGGUGACGGUACCUGCAGAAGAAGCACCGGCUAACUACGUG
rnacentral:rRNA from 1 species